rnacentral:rRNA from 1 species
AGAGUUUGAUCCUGGCUCAGGAUAAACGCUGGCGGCGUGCCUAAUACAUGCAAGUCGAUCGAUAGAAGUCCAGCUUGCUGGACGGAAAUAGAGGCGAACGGGUGAGUAAUACGUAAGCAACCUGCCCACGAAGACUGGGAUAAUCCCUGGAAACGGGGACUAAGACCGGAUAGGUACACAGAUCGCAUGAUCAGUGUAUUAAAGGAGAGAGACACUGGUGGAUGGGCUUACGGUGCAUUAGCUGGAUGGUGAGGUAACGGCCCACCAUGGCGAUGAUGCAUAGCCGGGCUGAGAGGCUGAACGGCCACAUUGGGACUGAGACACGGCCCAGACUCCUACGGGAGGCAGCAGUAGGGAAUUUUCGGCAAUGGGGGCAACCCUGACCGAGCAACGCCGCGUGAGUGAUGAAGGUCUUCGGAUUGUAAAGCUCUGUUGUAAGGGAAGAACGGCAUCUAGAGAAUAGGUGAGUGACGGUACCUUACCAGAAAGCUACGGCUAACUACGUGCCAGCAGCCGCGGUAAUACGUAGGUAGCGAGCGUUAUCCGGAAUUAUUGGGCGUAAAGGGUGCGUAGGCGGCCUGUUAAGUUUAUGGUGAAAGCGUGGGGCUCAACCCCAUAAAGCCAUAGAUACUGGCAGGCUAGAGUACUGGAGAGGGUAGUGGAAUUCCAUGUGUAGCGGUAAAAUGCGUAGAUAUAUGGAGGAACACCGGUGGCGAAGGCGGCUACCUAGACAGAGACUGACGCUGAGGCACGAAAGCGUGGGGAGCAAAUAGGAUUAGAUACCCUAGUAGUCCACGCUGUAAACGAUGAAUGCUAGGUAUCGGGGCGACCCGGUGCCGAAACUAACGCGAUAAGCAUUCCGCCUGUGGAGUAUGCACGCAAGUGUGAAACAUAAAGGAAUUGACGGGGGCCCGCACAAGCGGUGGAGUAUGUGGUUUAAUUCGACGCAACGCGAAGAACCUUACCAGGCCUUGACAUCCCUUGCAAAAUCCUGGAGACAGGACAGAGGUUAUCAAGGAGACAGGUGGUGCAUGGUUGUCGUCAGCUCGUGUCGUGAGAU